GAGGGGUUUUUGGCCCAAAGUUUACUAUAAGUGGUAGAUUUAUAUGCAUAUUUAAGAGGGAUAAAGCAAUAAUUUUAAAUAGAUAAAGUGCUAGGUUGGAAAUUGCAGUAAAUGAGCUUAUUAAUUCAGGGGACUGAGAAAUGGUUAAUGCAUGAAAUAUAAACAAAGUUUGUGCCAGCAGUUGCGGUUACACUUACUAUGUGAUGGUAAAUUUUUUAUGGUUUUAAGAGGACUAAGAAUGAGGAGUUGAAUGGUAAAUUUAUUAGGUGAAAUUUUAAAUUGUUUAAAGGCUAAUUGAAAGUUCAAGUUGUAUGUGUUAGUAAAAUUUUAUUAUAGACUAGGAUUAGAUACCCUAUUAUAAAAAUGGUAAAUUUAAUAAACUGAAUUAGUAGUAGUUAUAUUCUUGAAAGUUAAGGGAGUUGGCGGUUUUCUAGUCUAUUCAGAGGAACUUGUCUCAUAAUUGAUGGUCCACGAUAAGAUAUACUUGUUUUUUUAAUUUACAUAUCGCCGUAGGUUGAAUAUUUCUUUAGAGUUAAAAUAUUCAAGAUUUUUAUUGUAAGGAUAUCAGGUCAAGAUGUAGUUAAUAAAUAAGGGGAGGGUGAGUUACAAUAAAUUUAUUUAUAUGAAUAUAAGGUUUAAAUAUUUUAAAGAAGGUGGAUUUGAAGGUAAUUUUAAAAAAAUUUUUUUUUAGUGAUUUAAGCUCUAGGAUAUGCACAUAUCGCCCGUCGCUUUCAUCCCAAGGUGAAAUAAGUCGUAACAAAGUAGAUGUACUGGAAAGUGCUUCUAGAAAGGC
rnacentral:ncRNA from 1 species